CCACAAUGGACAAUAGCCAGGAAACAGAAACAACCUAAGCAUACAAUAACUGAGAAUGGAUAACAAAAAUGCAGCACAUGUAUACAAUGGAACACUAUUCACACACACACACACACACACACACACACAAAACAAAAAUGAAACAAAUAAACAAAAACAAAACCCCAAGAAAUCUUUGGCCACAACAUGGAAGGAACUGGAGGUCCUCAUGUUAAGUUAAAUAAGGCAAGCAGAGAAAGACAGGUAUCCAAGGAAGUCAUGCAAAUGUGCAUUCUAUAAAAUAGAUUAUAUCAUAUAAGUUAAAGGUAUAAUGGUGACUACCAGAGGCUGGAGUAGGAAGUGGGAAGGGAGGGAAGAAUGAGGGUCAUUGCUGGGUACUAGAGUAGAGCUAAGAGGAGUAAGAAAUUCUAAGAUUCUAUUGCACUGUUGGGUCACUAUAUAUGGUUAGUAUACUAUGUAUUUCUCCAUAACAGAAACUAGAGAUACGAUCUUAGAUGUAUUUAUUAUAAAGAAAUGUUAAAUGCUUGGAACUUGCACUAUAUAUAUAUAUAUAUAUAUAUAUAUAUAUAUGAAAUCAAACAUCACAUAGCAUUCUGUAAAUAUGUGAAUUUUAUGUCUAUUUAAACAUCUUUUAAAGAUAAAAUAUAACAUUUCCCAACUGUAUUACCUAGGAAAAUGAAAAAGCACAAUUGAUUAAUCAGUCACAAUUCUUUAUAUUCACACUCAUGCUCACAUUAAUGAAAAUCAAUAAAAUAAGUAGAAGGAGAAAAGAGUCUAUUUCUGAAGAGACUAUGAACAGUGGAUCAUGUAGACAGUCUUCAAACAAAGUUACACAGGAUAUUGGAAUAGCAGCCAGUACUUGGAAUCUCAACUCAUUCAGCACCCUGCCUCCAAACACCCAGGAAGAGAUUUCAGACUCCUGUUUGCUGCCCUGCCCAGAGACUGAUCAUUGCCACCUUCUGCCCUGGUGGGGCCUGGGACAGACUCAGAGAAGACAGAGAGGGUGUGCUGCAUCACCAGGUGGGGUCAGGGCACCUGUGAGAGUCUGCACUUGCUCUGUGAGUAUGCUCAUACCUGAAAGAAUGCAUCUUUGAAUAGAAAAUCAAAAAGCACCAAAGACAGGUUAAGAGAGAAAGAUGGUAGAGAAAAGAAAAAAGCUCCCCCCGCCAUUGAUAUUUAAACAAAUCGCAUUACUUUUUAAAAAUAUUUAUUUAUUUAUUUGAAAGACAGAGUUAUACACAGAGAGAGGAGAGAAAGAGAGAGAGAGAGAGAGAGGUCUUCCAUCCAAUGGUUCACUUCCCAAUUGGCCACAACAGUCGGAGCUGAGCCGAUCCAAAGCCAGGAGUCAGGAGCUUCUUCCUCCAGGUCUCCCACGCGGGUGCAGGGGCGCAAGGACUUGGACCAUCUUCCACUGCUUUCCUGGGCCAUGGCAGAGAGCUGGGUCAGAAGUGGAGCAGCCGGGUCUGAAACUGGCAUCCAUAUGGGAUGCCGGCGCUACAGACCAGGGCGUUAACCCACUGCACC
rnacentral:lncRNA from 1 species